UACGAAGGUUGCAAGCGUUACUCGGAAUUACUGGGCGUAAAGCGUGCGUAGGUGGUUUGUUAAGUCUGUUGUGAAAGCCCCGGGCUCAACCUGGGGGCUGCGUUUGAUACGUGCGGACUUGAGUGCGGAAGAGGGUCGUGGAAUUCCCAGUGUAGAGGUGAAAUUCGUAGAUAUUGGGAAGAACACCGGUGGCGAAGGCGGCGACCUGGUCCGAUACUGACGCUGAGGCGCGAAAGCGUGGGGAGCAAACAGG
rnacentral:rRNA from 1 species